GACUGAGGGUCACUCUCCCUGAAGGUUGAACCUGGCUGAAAGACCCUGGUGGGGCUGACUUGGUUUGGGGGUUCUCUGGCUUUGGACAGUUGAAAUUGACAAGAAGGAGAAACUUGGCUUUUAAGUUGGUUGUCUCUUUGAGAGUUGAGCUGGCCAGGAGAAACUGAGAGACUUUGAACUUUGUUUUCUCUCUGGGGUUAAGCUGAGAAAGGAGACAAGCCAGGCUGAAGUACCAGUCACAUUGGGACAAAGAGAAGUCUAGUCUGAGAGAAGGGGCCACAGACAGCCGCUGAGAUCAUUGCCUCCCUCAUUGCUGAAGAGUUUCCUUGCUUCAAGAAAUCCUCCUGCCUGACAUGAGUGUGGAAUUCAUUAGUUAACGCAGUUCACCUGUGACAGUGAUGUUGGUGACAGGUAAUCAUCAGGGUGUUUGGGUCCAGGAAAACUUCAUUUUGUCUUCUCUUCUUUUAGAGCAGGCAGCAAAUCCUUCCUAAUCAUGACAAGUCCCUGGAAGGAGGAGUCAGCCCACUCAGAUUCACCCAAGGUCACGGAGUAAGUUCUCUACAGUGUUGGGAAUGAGACAAACCCGAGUUCCUGCUCCCACAUUCUAUUCACCAGAGAGAAUUCAGUCUCUCCCAAACUUCCUGGCAGUUCUUAGAUGUACAGCAAUAUUAAAAACAGUUAUAAACUUUGUAAACUUCAAAAAGUCAGAAUGGUGAAUUAUCAGAAAUCCAGAAACCAGAGUCCAUACCAUGUUUUGUGACCAACUGAUCCAACAUUGAGUUCCUGAGGAAUGACCUGAGGGUCCUGAGGGACCAACCAAAGUGGAUCUGAGACAAAGACUUAUCCAGGGGCUAUGCAGCAUUUUGAAGUGAACUUGGUGGGGCAAAUGCUUCACAGAAACUUCUUUAUGGCUGAAUCCACUGUUUCCCGGGAUUGAAGGGGUAAAGGGGAAAGUCUGUUCCUGCAGGAAUUUGGCAAAUUUGGGGAAUUCUUGCAUUUUUGUUCUUGUGGUGUCCAUGCAGUAAAUAUAUCUUUGUAAAUAUUAAUUGAUGUUGAUUGGUUAGGUAGAACUGUAGUACUAAUCUUUGGUGGUAACAGUGAAAGGAAUAUACUAGAGUGAGAGUUUAGAAACAAAGCUUUAGAGAAAAACACCCCAAACUUCUCAUGGUACCCUUGACACCCUUAGCUUAGCCAGCUUCACUCUGGGAGAGUUAGUUCAGAAUAUCACUAUAUUUGUUUUUGCUUCCUUGUGUACAUAUUUUAAUUCCCCAGUAGAUAAUAAACUUCUUCUCCCCCCCCCCCCCAAGAAAGAAAGAAAUUCUUUUUUAAAAGUGUUUAUUUUUUGAAAAAUUUGUUUAAUUAGUCAAUUUAGAACAUUUUUCCUUGGUUACAAGAAUUAUAUUUUCCCUCCCCUCCCACUCCCCCUUUCUAUAGCUGACAGCAAUUCCACUGGGUUUUACAUGUGUCUUUGAUCAGAACCUAUUUCCAUGUUGUUAAUGUUUGCACUAUGGUGAUCAUUUAGAGUUUACAUCCCCAAUCAAAUCCCCAUCGAUCCAUGUGAUCAAGCAGUUGUUUUUCUUCAGUGUUUUUGCUCCCACAGUUCUUUCUCUGGAUGUGGAUAGCAUUCUUUCUCAUAAGUCCCUCAGAAUUGUCCUGGAUUAUUGGAUUGCUGCUAGUAGAGAAAUCCAUUACAUUCAAUUGUACCGCAGUGUAUCAGUCUCUGUGUAUAAUGUUCUUCUGGUUCUGCUCCUCUCAGACAAUAAGCUUCCUGAUGGCAGGGCCUGCUUCAUUUUUAAUGUCUUCAACAUUAUUAGAAAGCCUGGAAACAUGAUAGGAAUUUAAUAUCUAUUAUAUGAAAUUGAAUAAUAAAUGGCAGAAGUACAAUAAGAAUCCA